UACGUAGGGGGCUAGCGUUGUCCGGAAUCAUUGGGCGUAAAGCGCGUGUAGGCGGUUCGGUAAGUCCGCUGUGAAAGUCGGGGGCUCAACCCUCGAAUGCCGGUGGAUACUGUCGGACUAGAGUACGGAAGAGGCGAGUGGAAUUCCUGGUGUAGCGGUGAAAUGCGCAGAUAGUCAAGGAAGAACACCCGUGGCGAAGGCGGUUCUCUGGAACGCAACUGACGCUGAGACGCGAAAGCGUGGGGAGCAAACAGG
rnacentral:rRNA from 1 species